AUGAACGCAAGUGAAUUCCGAAGGAGAGGGAAGGAGAUGGUGGAUUACAUGGCCAACUACAUGGAAGGCAUUGAGGGACGCCAGGUCUACCCUGACGUGGAGCCCGGGUACCUGCGGCCGCUGAUCCCUGCCGCUGCCCCUCAGGAGCCAGACACGUUUGAGGACAUCAUCAACGACGUUGAGAAGAUAAUCAUGCCUGGGGCGGCAAGCCCAGCAUGCACAGAGCUGGAGACUGUGAUGAUGGACUGGCUCGGGAAGAUGCUGGAACUACCAAAGGCAUUUUUGAAUGAGAAAGCUGGAGAAGGGGGAGGAGUGAUCCAGGGAAGUGCCAGUGAAGCCACCCUGGUGGCCCUGCUGGCCGCUCGGACCAAAGUGAUCCAUCGGCUGCAGGCAGCGUCCCCAGAGCUCACACAGGCCGCUAUCAUGGAGAAGCUGGUGGCUUACUCAUCCGAUCAGAUGGUUGCCACCCUGGGGACCACAACAUGCUGCUCCUUUGACAAUCUCUUAGAAGUCGGUCCUAUCUGGUGAAAAAGAGAACAGACUUAACGGGAGCCUUUAGACUGGACCCCACUUACCUGAAGCACAGCCAUCAGGAUUCAGGGCUUAUCACUGACUACCGGCAUUGGCAGAUACCACUGGGCAGAAGAUUUCGCUCUUUGAAAAUGUGGUUUGUAUUUAGGAUGUAUGGAGUCAAAGGACUGCAGGCUUAUAUCCGCAAGCAUGUCCAGCUGUCCCAUGAGUUUGAGUCACUGGUGCGCCAGGAUCCCCGCUUUGAAAUCUGUGUGGAAGUCAUUCUGGGGCUUGUCUGCUUUCGGCUAAAGGGUUCCAACAAAGUGAAUGAAGCUCUUCUGCAAAGAAUAAACAGUGCCAAAAAAAUCCACUUGGUUCCAUGUCACCUCAGGGACAAGUUUGUCCUGCGCUUUGCCAUCUGUUCUCGCACGGUGGAAUCUGCCCAUGUGCAGCGGGCCUGGGAACACAUCAAAGAGCUGGCGGCCGACGUGCUGCGAGCAGAGAGGGAGUAGGAGUGAAGCCAGCUGCAGGAAUCAAAAAUUGAAGAGAGAUAUAUCUGAAAACUGGAAUAAGAAGCAAAUAAAUAUCAUCCUGCCUUCAUGGAACUCAGCUGUCUGUGGCUUCCCAUGUCUUUCUCCAAAGUUAUCCAGAGGGUUGUGAUUUUGUCUGCUUAGUAUCUCAUCAACAAAGAAAUAUUAUUUGCUAAUUAAAAAGUUAAUCUUCAUGGCCAUAGCUUUUAUUCAUUAGCUGUGAUUUUUGUUGAUUAAAACAUUAUAGAUUUUCAUGUUCUUGCAGUCAUCAGAAGUGGUAGGAAAGCCUCACUGAUAUAUUUUCCAGGGCAAUCAAUGUUCACGCAACUUGAAAUUAUAUCUGUGGUCUUCAAAUUGUCUUUUGUCAUGUGGCUAAAUGCCUAAUAAACAAUUCAAGUGAAAUACUAA
rnacentral:misc_RNA from 1 species